UUACACAUGCAAGUCGAGCGGAAACGACAACAUUGACUCUUCGGAUGAUUUGUUGGGCGUCGAGCGGCGGACGGGUGAGUAAUGCCUAGGAAGUUGCCCGGUAGAGGGGGAUAACCAUUGGAAACGAUGGCUAAUACCGCAUGAUCUCUACGGAGCAAAGCAGGGGACCUUCGGGCCUUGUGCUACCGGAUACGCCUAGGUGGGAUUAGCUAGUUGGUGAGGUAAUGGCUCACCAAGGCGACGAUCCCUAGCUGGUCUGAGAGGAUGAUCAGCCACACUGGAACUGAGACACGGUCCAGACUCCUACGGGAGGCAGCAGUGGGGAAUAUUGCACAAUGGGCGAAAGCCUGAUGCAGCCAUGCCGCGUGUAUGAAGAAGGCCUUCGGGUUGUAAAGUACUUUCAGUUGU
rnacentral:rRNA from 1 species